GCUGGGUGUGGUGGUGGGCACCUGUAAUCCCAGCUACUCAGGAGGCUGAGGCAGAAGAAUUGCUUGAACCCGGGAGGCGGAGGUUGCGGUGAGCCGAGAUCACACCACUGAACUCCAGCCUGGGUGAGAGAGAGAUACUCUGUUUUGUUUUUUUUUUUUCCUGAGACGGAGUCUCACUCUGUCGCCCAGGCUGGAGUGCAGUGGCGCGAUCUUGGCUCACUACAAGCUCCGCCUCCUGGGUUCAAGCCAUUCUCCUGCCUCAG
rnacentral:SRP_RNA from 1 species